UACGGGGGGAGCAAGCGUUGUUCGGAUUUACUGGGCGUAAAGGGCGCGUAGGCGGUCGUGACAAGUCACUUGUGAAAUCUCCGGGCUUAACUCGGAACGGUCAAGUGAUACUGUCGGACUAGAGUACAGAAGGGGCAACUGGAAUUCUCGGUGUAGCGGUGAAAUGCGUAGAUAUCGAGAGGAACACCUGCGGCGAAGGCGGUGAGCUGGGCAGUUGCUGACACUGAGGCGCGACAGCGUGGGGAGCAAACAGGG
rnacentral:rRNA from 1 species